rnacentral:lncRNA from 1 species
AGUUGAGAACAAGUCCUUUAUUUAACCAGGUAGGCUAGUUGAGAACAAGUCCUUUAUUUAACCAGGUAGGCUAGUUGAGAACAAGUCCUUUAUUUAACCAGGUGGCUAGUUGAGAACAAGUCCUUUAUUUAACCAGGUAGGCCAGUUGAGAACAAGUCCUUUAUUUAACCAGGUGGGCUAGUUGAGAACAAGUCCUUUAUUUAACCAGGUAGGCUAGUUGAGAACAAGUCCUUUAUUUAACCAGGUGGGCUAGUUGAGAACAAGUCCUUUAUUUAACCAGGUAGGCCAGUUGAGAACAAGUCCUUUAUUUAACCAGGUAGGCUAGUUGAGAACAAGUCCUUUAUUUAACCAGGUAGACCAGUUGAGAACAAGUUCUCAUUUACAACUGCGACCUGGCCAAGAUAAAGCAAAGCAGUUCGACAAAAACAACAACACAGAGUUACACAUGGAAUAAAACAAACAUACAGUCAAUAAUACAGUAGAAAAAUCUAUAUAUUCGGUAUUGUUAGGUAUUGUAUUGUAUUGUUAUUGUCACGUCCUGACCAGUAUAAGGGUUAUUUGUUAUUGUAGUUUGGUCAGGACGUGGCAGAGGGUGUAUUUGUUUUAUGUGGUUCGGGGUGGUGGUUUGUUUAGUAGGGUAUUUGAUUUAUGUAUUCCG